UACGUAGGUGGCAAGCGUUGUCCGGAGUUAUUGGGCGUAAAGCGCGCGCAGGCGGUGCGGUAAGUCUCUGGUGAAAGCGCUCGGCUUAACUGGGCGAGGGCCGGGGAGACUGCCACGCUGGAGGGGAGCAGAGGCGAGUGGAAUUCCGGGUGUAGUGGUGAAAUGCGUAGAGAUCCGGAGGAACACCAGUGGCGAAGGCGGCUCGCUGGGCUCUACCUGACGCUGAGGCGCGACAGCGUGGGGAGCAAACAGG
rnacentral:rRNA from 1 species